rnacentral:rRNA from 1 species
GAGGAAUAUUGGGCAAUGCCCGCAAGGGUGACCCAGCAACGCCGCGUGGAGGAUGAAUGUCGUAAGAUUGUAAACUCCUGUUAGAGGGGAAGAAUAGUACCGGUUGGACCGGUAUAUGACUGUACCCUCAGAGAAAGCCCCGGCUAACUACGUGCCAGCAGCCGCGGUAAUACGUAGGGGGCAAGCGUUGUCCGGAUUUACUGGGUGUAAAGGGCGCGCAGGCGGGAUAAAAAGUCAGUGGUGAAAUCCUACAGCUUAACUGUAGAACUGCCGUUGAGACUUUUAUUCUUGAGUUCGGGAGAGAGAGACGGAAUUCCAGGUGUAGUGGUGAAAUACGUAAAUAUCUGGAAGAACACCAGUUGCGAAGGCGGUCUCUUGGUCCGACACUGACGCUGAGGCGCGAAAGCGUGGGGAGCAAACA